CAAAUAUCCUCGUACGUGACCUGCGGAGGAUCAUUACCGAGUUAGGGUCGCCCCGCGCGCCCGACCUCCAACCCUUUGUCUACCCGACCUUUUUGUUGCUUCGGCAGGCCCGCCGCCCCCUCGUGGGGUGGCCGCCGGGGGUUUAACCGCCCCGGGCCCGCGCCUGUCGAUGGCCCCAACCACAAACUCUUGUACCUAAACGUGUCAUCUGAGUUAACAAACAAAAUAAAUUAAAACUUUCAACAACGGAUCUCUUGGUUCUGGCAUCGAUGAAGAACGCAGCGAAAUGCGAUAAGUAAUGCGAAUUGCAGAAUCCGUGAGUCAUCGAAUCUUUGAACGCACAUUGCGCCCUCUGGUAUUCCGGAGGGCAUGCCUGUUCGAGCGUCUUUAUCACCCCUCAAGCCCGGCUUGUUGUUGGACGCGGCGGCGCCUUUGCGCCCCGCCCGUCUCAAAGAUAAUGACGGCGUCUGCGAGGACCCCUGUACACUGAGCUUUCGGGCACGUACUAGGUGUGGAAUCCAGACCCGGUCAUCGUCCCCCAGGGACAAAACUUUUAACCAGGUUGACCUCGGAUCAGGUAGGAAUACCCGCUGAACUUAAGCAUAUCAAUAAGCGGAGGAA
rnacentral:rRNA from 1 species